rnacentral:rRNA from 1 species
UACGUAGGGCGCAAGCGUUAUCCGGAAUUAUUGGGCGUAAAGAGCGCGUAGGCGGUCCGGUAAGUCCGCUCUGAAAGUCCGGGGCUCAACCCCGGGAGGCGGGCGGAUACUGUCGGGCUAGAGUCCGGAAGAGGCGAGUGGAAUUCCUGGUGUAGCGGUGAAAUGCGCAGAUAUCAGGAGGAACACCAAUGGCGAAGGCAGCUCGCUGGGACGGUACUGACGCUGAGGCGCGAAAGCGUGGGGAGCAAACAGG